GCUGAGCAUGAGACCGGAACUCAGAAGGAGGAACACAGAAAAGUUCUUUCAGUUGAUGAGGUCCUCUCACUGGAUCACUGACUGACUUGGGUUUCUCACUGACUCACUGGGCUUUGGUGGGUUAGCUGGCUUUCUCUGGCUACUGGAGGAGAGAAACAUCUGUGACUUUACUCUUGGAAAUCUUCCCCAAUUUUGUACCUCCCUGCACUUUGGGCUGAGGUUGGAGAGGCUAGAAUACCUUAAGUUAGAAAGGAUCUCAAGGACAGUCUAGUCCAUCACCACUUCCCAGAGGAGGAAAUGGAUUGCCUGAAGUCACAGAGGUCCAGCAUUCUAACCAUGAUGCCACCUACUUGCUGGGAUACUUUGAAUGAUAUUCAUUUUUAAUUCUUCAGAGACUGUAAUGUUCUGAUUUAUAGUCAUAUAAAACACCUACAAAACAUUGUUAAUAAAAAGGUGAGUCUGUUUUUGGGAAAAAUUUUG
rnacentral:lncRNA from 1 species